GUAGGGAAUAUUGCGCAAUGGGGGAAACCCUGACGCAGCGACGCCGCGUGAGUGAUGAAGGCCUUCUGGUCGUAAAGCUCUGUUGCAGGGGAAUAAAAAAAUGAAGGUACCCUGUGAGGAAGGAUCGGCUAACUUCGUGCCAGCAGCCGCGGUAAGACGAGGGAUCCUAGCGUUGCUCGGAAUCAUUGGGCGUAAAGAGGGCGUAGGUGGCUUGGUAAGUCAGGUGUGAAAGCCCAGGGCUCAACCCUGGAAGUGCAUUUGAUACUGCUGAGCUUGAGUGUCGGAGAGGUUACCGGAAUACCUGGUGUAGUGGUGAAAUACGUAGAUAUCAGGUGGAACACCGGAGGCGAAGGCGGGUAACUGGACGAACACUGACACUGAGGCCCGAAAGCGUGGGGAUCAAACAGGAUUAGAAACCCCGGUAGUCC
rnacentral:rRNA from 1 species